GCUCCGAUGGCGGAAUUGGUAGACGCGCUACAUUCAGGGUGUAGUGGGCGAACGCCCGUGCAAGUUCGACUCUUGUUCGGAGCA
rnacentral:tRNA from 1 species